rnacentral:rRNA from 1 species
UACGUAGGUGGCGAGCGUUGUCCGGAUUUACUGGGCGUAAAGGGAGCGUAGGCGGACUUUUAAGUGAGAUGUGAAAUACUCGGGCUCAACUUGAGUGCUGCAUUUCAAACUGGAAGUCUGGAGUGCAGGAGAGGAGAAUGGAAUUCCUAGUGUAGCGGUGAAAUGCGUAGAGGUUAGGAAGAACACCAGUGGCGAAGGCGAUUCUCUGGACUGUAACUGACGCUGAGGCUCGAAAGCGUGGGGAGCAAACAGG